UACAGCGUGAAGCAACAUACUGUAAAUCAACUAAUUUUCACUGGCGAUUUCGCUGAUUUCGCCGGUGGGUAUCAGCCGGCCAAAAUAAAUCGCAGGCUAACAUUUGUCAUAGAGGAAAAUGAUGCAUUAUUGAGCCAUGGCUGCAUGUGAGAGCAACAAAUACCAGUCGAUUUCUUUUUUGAAAAACCCAAUCGGCCAAAGUUAAAUGACGGCCAAAAGUUUCAUUUCGGGAUCGGCCAAAGUUUCUCACCGGCCAAAAUAAUUAAUUUGUUGAUUUACAGUAUUAGGGAAGGUCAAAGGUGGAAAGGUCGAAGGUCGAAAAAUUAUUCUCGAAAUGACGUCAAACGGUCCGAACAUUCCCGAAAUGACGUCAAACGGUCCUGAAACUCCCGAAAUGACGUCAAACGGUCCUGAUGGCCUGAUUGAUUAUGCCCGCGGCGGGAAGAUCGCCUAUGGGGCUGUUAAGUGAUGACGUCACAGUUCCUUCGAUACGCAUAGCAACGAUCCCACUGGGGACAAACAAAAGUAGCGUCGUCUCCACCGAACCAGUUGUCAGUGGCAACAUAUAGGAAUCGUGUACAUUUCUCGUUUCUUCUUUGCAGUUUUCAGUGAGUGUUUUGUUUUCUCUUUGUCCUUGAUCUCGACGGUGUUGUCGUGCUCAUUACCUUACUGAGACGUCUCUUGUGACUGUAGCCAGUGUCACGGAGGAUUUUAUUGGCGUGACGAGGUAGAUCGCCGAGAUCGAGCGUGAAAAACGCUCUGCAUUAGUAGCUCCUGUAGAAUGUCUUUUGGGAUGGCGUAUCCAUGGUCAACAAAGCCAAGGUGCAAGACAGCAUAAGAGAUCGUGUAAACGAUGUGACCUCCAAAAGGUAAGCUCCUGAACAAGUCGAAAGAUAUGUGUAUUUACAAACUCUCUCUUCAUCCAUCGAUUGCCGCUAUGCAUUGCAUUUUGUCUUCACAGAUAAUCUGGACAAAUAAAUUAUAUUGUAACUGGAGAGUGCAAUCGUGCUUGGGACCCAUCCCAAUGUCAUCACAUGGCUGUGGUGACUAGUGUAUACCUGUACCUGGGAGAGUUUUUCCUCAACCGAGACAGAGUGUAGGUGGACGGAUUAUGAGAAAUGCGAAGAUGUGGAGUUCAAGGCUAUAUGCACUUCACAUUCGGCGUGCGAUCUCGGCGUCUGGGACCUGAUAACGUCUUGGUUGGAUGGGUGAUCAAGGAUGAUACUACUCGGCACACCAAUGUACAUAUCAAUGUAAUUUUUACUUUUUCAGAGCUGCACUAUUUACGGACGAAUGUGUCUGUUAGAGAGGAAAUAAAUAGUAUUCACAAACAAGUCCCACUUAUUGUUUCUGUUCGUAAAAGGAAAUUGCAAUUAAAUUGGUCAUAUUGUUCGUUCCGGCUGUUUGUCAUUGACUGUUCUUCAGGGUUGUGUUGCUGGAGGUCGUGGCCGAGGCAGGCCCAGAAUGUCAUGGCUUGAUAAUAAUUAUUAUUUCAUGGACUGCACUUGACGUGCAGUCCCUGCUCGCUGCUGCACGCGAUCGAUUUUUAUGGCGCUCGCUUGUUCAUACUUGCUCUGUGACGCCGCGACGGGCUUAGGGCUUGUGAUGAUGACUAUUUACGUCUUGAUGCUUACUUCGGUGCUAGCGUGUUUCCCCCGGAUUAUUUCUAUCAUCAUGCGUGUUCUUGGGCUGAGCGAGCACAUGCACGAGUGUGCAGCUAUAACCCCGUGUAUCUUUGGUUACACUUUGUUCUGCAAUGCAUGUACCUUGUAACAGUAUGUGCUUGCACUGCUUUGUGUGGCCUGCGUAUUUCAGGACUAUUUAGUGCAUUAGACCCAGGUUGGUUUGGUUGCCGGAUGAUCUCUUGUUGCGUCGCUCUGUGUUUUGUAUUCAUCAAUUUUUGGGCUUGAGAAUUGAGCUGGUGUGUGGUUCCCAAUAUCAAAACAUCAUGCUGGUGCUCUGUGUUUCGAUUAUCGACUGUCCGAGCAGUCACGAUUCAUUA